rnacentral:rRNA from 1 species
GGAAUAUUGGUCAAUGGGCGCAAGCCUGAACCAGCCAUCCCGCGUGCAGGAAGACGGCCCUAUGGGUUGUAAACUGCUUUUCCAGGGGGAGAAUUUUUCUGUCGUGACAGGAAUUGACGGUACCCUGGGAAUAAGCAUCGGCUAACUCCGUGCCAGCAGCCGCGGUAAUACGGAGGAUGCGAGCGUUAUCCGGAUUUAUUGGGUUUAAAGGGUGCGUAGGCGGAUUGAUAAGUCAGUGGUGAAAACCUGCAGCUUAACUGUAGACUUGCCGUUGAUACUGUCAGUCUUGAGUGUGGUCAAGGUAGGCGGAAUGUGUAAUGUAGCGGUGAAAUGCUUAGAUAUUACACAGAACACCGAUUGCGAAGGCAGCUUACUGGGCCAUUACUGACGCUGAUGCACGAAAGCGUGGGGAUCGAACAG